CUAAAGUCCAUAGACGCUUCAAGCCCUGCACUCUCCAAGUUCAAGAAAUGGCCACAGGGAAUGAAAAAAUCGUCCGCGCGCCGCUGCUAAUCAAACAGGCAUAGUAGAAGCACUCAAGGAAUGCCCGAGUUAGUUUCAAUAUUUCCCGCUAGGGGCGCCGUAAUGAGGGCAAUUUUUUUGCAAACUUUCUCCUGCAGUUACCGUAGCAUGUUUAUUACAUAAAAUAAGUCAUAAAAUUAUCAUUGCUAAUUAGAUAGUGUACUUUUUAUUAGUAAGUACAUUGUUUUUUGUUAUAAAAGCAAAUAGCGUUCAGCAUCACCAAUCUUUCUCGUGACCUCUGGCAUGGAUUUAAAAUUUUUACCGGUAUUUUCGAGUGCAUGGUGGCACGGAUUCAUUCGUUCGUACACUUAGACUGGUUGCUUCUUUCUUGCUAAAACUAGUUUAUUGCUCUUCGAUGUCUCGCUUUAUUUAACUUGGGGUGAAGUGACAUCCUUGCAAGCGGACAUGUAAGCCCGAAAGCUACGUUUCGGUCAUGCAUCUGCUGCAUCGAAACGGGAACCGUAUUCUGCGACUGAGGACAGCAGUACUGCAAGCCGCUCCCACGUUGGGACGGACAGGCCGAGCCUGCCGCCACAUCAUGGGCUCUCUGGACAGCCCAGAUUUGGUCCCUCGGAGCUUCGCAGUGAGGAGCACGGAUCGUCGCGGACCUGGUGGGACGUGUCCCAGGAUGAUCGAGAUGGCUUGACGCCUGCCUAUUCACGGAGACAGCCUGGUCAGCCCGCACAGGAGCAGCUGACGGUCCAGUUGGGCAGCCAUCCGGGGACCAGCGGGACGGCUGAUGGACGGACGGUCGGUCCGUCAGUCGCCGACGGACCGGCGGCUGACGGUCUGUCCUCUUGGCCGUGCCUGUGGCUGUGGUCCCGCCUGAGAGCACCAGCAUUGCCUUCGGCACAAUUUCGCUGGCUUCUGCCAGCAAAACUUUUCGCCUGCCACGACCGUCGAGCCUCCAGAGGGGUAGCCGUGCCUACCCGGUGCCAGGGCGUGGGUAGCCGACGUACCCGUACAAAGUCUUCGCACCGAACCACUUCAAGAAGACGCCGUACGCCAACAAAAGUGGUAAUAUAUUGCACGCCAUUGCAAGAUCCGGCACUCACUUCAUCAGCCAGCGUGAUUUUCAUGGCUGCAAGUGGCGUACCCGACCACCACAUAGCAUACCGCCACUUCGCAGUGGGCUUCUUCUACCGUGGAAGCGCUAAGCUAGUGGAGGUAUGCGAGGCUGGCUGAGACUGCGACGGGCAACCCAGUGGCAUUCCACUCAUGGAAACGAGAUUCCGAGAUCAUGGCUGCGAAUGUCCCACAAGGAAAGUGGCCACGACGAAUCACAAGAGUCUUCGCCUAUUGCACGCCGCUGGAGCACUCCCCGCUGGCCAGCUCCGCCAGCACGAUGGUCGCGGCUGGAAGUGCCGUGCCCGGCCAUGAACGACCGGGCGUAUCGCCGGCUUUUUUUACGCCGGGAGCCGGGACAGGGUUGACAUUUGCAAAGCUGGGCACGACGGCGCCACAGGGGGCCUUGUCGCCUUUAGGAGUUGGCUAUGAGACUCGCAGCUCAUGGCCGCGAACACCGAAAAGGAAAGCGGCCGCGACAAAUGACCAAAGUCUGUGUGUAUUGCGUGCCACUCGAGCAGUUCCCGCUGGCCGACUCCGCCAGCACGAUGGCCACGGCAGCAAGUGCCGUGCCCAACCAUGAGCAGGCGUAUUGGCACUUCGCCGCCGGCUUCUUCUACGCUGGGAGCAUAGACCGCGUUGAGAUUUGCGAGGCCGGACGUGACGGUGCCACAGGGUAUCUGGUCGCCUUCAGGAGCUGGCGACGAGAUUCCCAGAUCAUGGCCGGCAAUGCCGACAAGGUGGUUGUCGGGGAGUACGAAAUCACUAAAGGCAACGUUAAUGCAGUCAUGGAAGAACUUAGAUUUAGGAAAGUAUAACGUGUUAACCAACAACUGUCAAGAUUUUGUUCAAAAACUGCUGGCAAAACUGAAAGUACCUUUCCCUGCCGAAUUAAUUACGGCGAAGAUCGUAACCAUGGAACUGUGCCUCAGCGUGGCAGUGCAAAGUGCUUCUAUAGGGUGGAGGUAGGGGACUACGUAAUUUCGAGAACAACAGUCAGCGAUGCCAUGGAAGAACUCACGAAUCUUGGAAAAUAUAGUAUAUUAACGAACAACUGCCAGGACUUCGUGCAGAAGCUCCUGGCGAAAUUGAAAGUUCCAUUUCCGGCCGAAUUGAUUACGGCCAAGAUCGCGACCGCGGAGUUGGGCCUGAGCGUGGCAGCACAAAGCGCUUCAUCACAUUUUUUCAAAUAAAAGUCUGCCAUGACCUCUUGGGCUCUGGCGUCGUCCUCGG